UGGGGAAUUUUGGACAAUGGGCGAAAGCCUGAUCCAGCAAUGCCGCGUGUGUGAAGAAGGCCUUCGGGUUGUAAAGCACUUUUGUCCGGAAAGAAAUCCUUGGCUCUAAUACAGUCGGGGGAUGACGGUACCGGAAGAAUAAGCACCGGCUAACUACGUGCCAGCAGCCGCGGUAAUACGUAGGGUGCAAGCGUUAAUCGGAAUUACUGGGCGUAAAGCGUGCGCAGGCGGUUUGCUAAGACCGAUGUGAAAUCCCCGGGCUCAACCUGGGAACUGCAUUGGUGACUGGCAGGCUAGAGUAUGGCAGAGGGGGGUAGAAUUCCACGUGUAGCAGUGAAAUGCGUAGAGAUGUGGAGGAAUACCGAUGGCGAAGGCAGCCCCCUGGGCCAAUACUGACGCUCAUGCACGAAAGCGUGGGGGAGCAAACAGGAUUCAGAUACCCUGGUAGUCCACGCCCUAAACGAUGUCAACUAGUUGUGGGGAUUCAUUUCCUUAGUAACGCAGCUAACGCGUGAAGUUGACCGCCUGGGGAGUACGGUCG
rnacentral:rRNA from 1 species